GCCUGUGUGGUAUAGUGGUUUGAGUGUUGGACUAGGACUCUGGAGACCAGGGUUCAAAUCCCAGCUCUGCCA